rnacentral:rRNA from 1 species
AAUAGAUACCCGGGUAGUCCACGCCGUAAACGAUGAGUGCUAAGUGUUAGGGGGGUUUCCCACCCCCUUAGUGCUGCAGCUAACGCAUUAAGCACUCCGCCUGGGGAGUACGGUCGCAAGACUGAAACUCAAAGGAAUUGACGGGGGCCCGCACAAGCGGUGGAGCAUGUGGUUUAAUUCGAAGCAACGCGAAGAACCUUACCAGGUCUUGACAUCCCGCUGACCGCUAUGGAGACAUAGCCUUCCCUUCGGGGACAGCGGUGACAGGUGGUGCAUGGUUGUCGUCAGCUCGUGUCGUGAGAUGUUGGGUUAAGUCCCGCAACGAGCGCAACCCUUGUCCUUAGUUGCCAUCAUUCAGUUGGGCACUCUAAGGAGACUGCCGUACAAAUACGGAGGAAGGUGGGGAUGACGUCAAAUCAUCAUGCCCCUUAUGACCUGGGCUACACACGUGCUACAAUGGACGGUACAAACGGUCGCGAAGUCGCGAGACGGAGCCAAUCCGAAAAAACCGUUCUCAGUUCGGAUUGCAGGCUGCAACUCG